UACGGAGGAUCCAAGCGUUAUCCGGAUUCAUUGGGUUUAAAGGGUGCGUAGGCGGAACGAUAAGUCAGUGGUGAAAGCCUGCAGCUUAACUGCAGAACUGCCAUUGAUACUGUCGAUCUUGAGUACAUUUGAUGUGGGCGGAAUGUGUCAUGUAGCGGUGAAAUGCUUAGAUAUGACACAGAACACCGAUUGCGAAGGCAGCUCACAAAACUGUAACUGACGCUGAGGCACGAAAGCGUGGGUAUCAAACAGGAUUAGAUACCCUGGUAGUCCACGCCGUAAACUAUGAUUACUCGAUGUUUGCGAUACACAGUAAGCGUCUAAGCGAAAGCGAUAAGUAAUCCACCUGGGGAGUACGCUCGCAAGAGUG
rnacentral:rRNA from 1 species